AUCAAGCAUAAUGAAGUACUGGUAGAUUGUGAAGCACAAAAAUAUGAUUUGGAAGGUAUUUGAAUAGUUUUAAGAUUGAUAUAUAGCAAAAAAUCAAUAAAACAGUAAUAUAAACAGAGAAAAUAUAGUACUAAAACAAUAAAUGGUACUAAAAAAAAGAAAUGGGUCAGCUUGCCCCAACCCAUCCUAAACCCACCGCAACCUGCAAUCCAAAUGGGAUGGGUUAUUUAACCCACUUUUAAACAGGUUGCUAAACAUGAACUCAACUUGUCCCAUUUACAUGACAGGGUGGGCCAACCUGAUGGGUCCAAUUCAAAUUGAUAGCUCUAUGCAGAGGACAUAC
rnacentral:lncRNA from 1 species